rfam:Lactobacillus shenzhenensis LY-73 genomic scaffold LY73.Scaffold23, whole genome shotgun sequence.
UGAACCUUUAACUGAGUCCAGAGAGGCUUAGAAGGUCGCGGUGCGCCGCUUACUGACAGAUCGACUAUUGGUCGCCUUCUAUCCAACUGGGUAGAGGGCGUUUUUUU